UCGAUUAUCGAAAUAAUAUCGAUAGGAUCGAUAUAAUCGAGUUCCGUUACCAGCCAAUGAGAGAGCUUCUUGGCGAAAUUUGGCGCGCAGCGUCAGUCUUCAGUGGAAAGUGAACAAGUGAGGACGUGUGACCGCUGCCGGCUUGGAAAAUUCUACUGCGCAAUUAUUACCAGAUUAUUACUGGGCCGAUAUAUUGGUCGGGAAGGCGGGAAAAAUUCCAACAUGGACGCCAUUGUACUUUUUCAAAGAGAAAAGUAUGAUUUUUCGCUCGUGCAUUGUAUGUAUUUAUUCUUUAUUCAUUCGAUCGUUAUUAUUUGAUAUACUUUGUCAUUACGUAAACGUGUAUUUUAUCCUAUAUGUAUAAUGAACAUUCAUCAUAAUUAUUAAUAGUUUUGCAUUAAAUUUGAUAUGAUCGUUCCAUUUUAAAUGUUUUUAUUCAUGAAAAAAAAUGGAUAAUAAUCGAUUCAGAGUUUUAAUAAAAACGUUAAUUCUUUCCGAAACAAAUGUUGGAUAGAAAGAAAAAAUAUUUUGCUUCUUUUUCUAUAGAUUCCACGCGCCCCCCUCCCACUCAUUACUAAUACAACUUUAUUUCCAGAGAAUUUUUGUGAUCGCGCGCAAUGCGAUCGGUAGAUUCAGUGUUUGCUUCGUAAUAGUUUUUUAGAGUAUUUAGAGCACAAUAGCUCUAAUUAAAUUACUAUAAUUAUUCGCGAAACUAGAGUCAGUGCUUGUUCGCCGCUUCUAUUUGAAAUCGACGCGUUAGUAGUUUUUUAUUUUUAUUUUUUUUAUUUUUUUGAAAUUUUAUUCGUUUUCGGUACAGGGUAGAAUCAGUGUUCCUCGAGGAAUAGGGCGGUCAUCCAUCACGCGAAGAGUUCUCCCUUCCUCGUGAUGACUAUUUGGCGAUGACAUCUUGGGCCACGACAAUGCAGAUUCUUCGCAUCUAUUGGUGAGUCGCAUGCAUUUAUGUUCCUCCGGUCAUUCAAUCAUGUCGUAGGACGAAAGGUCCGUAUCGACACGGAUGACUGGUUGUAUACGUAGAAUUUUGCACGAGCACAGUGACCACGGGUAUUUAUUAUACUCGUGAAUAGUAACAUUUUUCUUGUAUUUUAUUUAUUAGAUCAGGAUAGAUCUUCUUGCACGUCGCGUUUUUGUAAAGAUGAUAUUGAUAGUUAAUUUUAAUAUUAAACAACACGUUAAUUAUGAAUAUAUAGAAUGAUAUGAAUAAUUAGUAGUUUGAUUGAUCUAUGAUUGAUUUAUUUAUUUU